rnacentral:tRNA from 1 species
ACCAGUAUGGCAGAAUAGUGCAAUGAACUUAAGAUUCAUAUAUAAAUAUAUUUUUGCUGGAA